AUAAGAUUGAAGUUUGGAAAGGGGUUGAGGAGAUUUCGACCAGCAAGAAGCAGAGUUACAACAGGUAAUUCCCAUUCUUUGAGCUGAGUUGAUGAAGUGUGAAGCUGAAUUUGAGUACUUCUAUCUUCAGCAAAGUCGAAUUUUCCUGUGGG